rnacentral:rRNA from 1 species
AUUGAACGCUGGCGGAAUGCUUUACACAUGCAAGUCGAGCGGCAGCGCGGGGCAACCUGGCGGCGAGCGGCGAACGGGUGAGUAACACAUCGGAACGUACCCUGUCGUGGGGGAUAACGAAUCGAAAGAUUCGCUAAUACCGCAUAAGACCUGAGGGUGAAAGCGGGGGAUCGCAAGACCUCGCGCGAUUGGAGCGGCCGAUGUCGGAUUAGCUAGUUGGUAGGGUAAAGGCCUACCAAGGCGACGAUCCGUAGCUGGUCUGAGAGGACGACCAGCCACACUGGGACUGAGACACGGCCCAGACUCCUACGGGAGGCAGCAGUGGGGAAUUUUGGACAAUGGGGGCAACCCUGAUCCAGCCAUUCCGCGUGAGUGAAGAAGGCCUUCGGGUUGUAAAGCUCUUUCGGCAGGAACGAAACGGUGGGGGCUAAUACCCCUUGCUAAUGACGGUACCUGAAGAAGAAGCACCGGCUAACUACGUGCCAGCAGCCGCCGUAAGAC